ensembl:snRNA U2 U2 spliceosomal RNA
ACUGCUUCUUGGCCCAUUUGGCUAAGAUCAAGUGUAGUAUCUGUUCUUAUCGGUUUAAUAUCUGAUAUGUCAACCAUCUUAAGCGGCAAAGGGGCUUGCUUCUUCUGCUCCAUGCAUCGACCCAGUAUUGCAGUGCCUCUGGGAGAAAGUCAUUGUCA